rnacentral:rRNA from 1 species
GAUGAACGCUGGCGGCGUGCCUAAUACAUGCAAGUCGAGCGAACGGACGAGAAGCUUGCUUCUCUGAUGUUAGCGGCGGACGGGUGAGUAACACGUGGAUAACCUACCUAUAAGACUGGGAUAACUUCGGGAAACCGGAGCUAAUACCGGAUGAUAUUUUGAACCGCAUGGUUCAAAAGUGAAAGACGGUCUUGCUGUCACUUAUAGAUGGAUCCGCGCUGCAUUAGCUAGUUGUUAAGGUAACGGCUUACCAAGGCAACGAUGCAUAGCCGACCUGAGAGGGUGAUCGGCCACACUGGAACUGAGACACGGUCCAGACUCCUACGGGAGGCAGCAGUAGGGAAUCUUCCGCAAUGGGCGAAAGCCUGACGGAGCAGCGCCGCGUGAGUGAUGAAGGUCUUCGGAUCGUAAAACUCUGUUAUUAGGGAAGAACAUAUGUGUAAGUAACUGUGCACAUCUUGACGGUACCUAAUCAGAAAGCCACGGCUAACUACGUG